UACCCGCAGCUCAAGUGGUGGCCACUAUUAUUGAGCCUAAAGCGUCCGUAGCCGGUCUUGUAAAUCUCUGGGUAAAUCCUGCUGCUUAACAGUAGGAAUUCUGGAGAGACUGCAAGACUAGGGAUCGGGUGAGGUAGGAGGUACUCCUGGGGUAGGGGUAAAAUCCUGUAAUCCUGGGGGGACGACCGGUGGCGAAGGCGUCCUACUAGAACGACUCCGACGGUGAGGGACGAAGGCUAGGGGAGCAAACCGGAUUAGAUACCCGGGUAGUCCUAGCUGUAAACACUGCCCACUUGGUGUUGCAUCUCCGGUAAGGGGGUGCAGUGCCGGAGCGAAGGUGUUAAGUGGGCCGCUUGGGGAGUAUGGUCGCAAGGCUGAAACUUAAAGGAAUUGGCGGGGGAGCACCGCAACGGGAGGAGCGUGCGGUUUAAUUGGAUUCAACGCCGGAAAACUCACCGGAGGCGACCUGUGGAUGAGAGUCAACCUGAUGAGUUUACUCGAUAGCAGGAGAGGUGGUGCAUGGCCGUCGUCAGCUCGUACCGUAGGGCGUUCACUUAAGUGUGAUAACGAGCGAGACCCCCAUUCUCAAUUGCAAUAUCAUGUGAGAACAUGGUAGCACUUUGAGAGGACCGCCAGCGCAGAGCUGGAGGAAGGAGGGGUCGACGGCAGGUCAGUACGCCCCGAAUCUUCCGGGCAACACGCGCGCUACAAAGGACAGGACAAUGGGCUGCAACCUCGUAAAGGGGACGCCGAUCCCGAAACCUGUUCGUAGACUGGAUUGUAGGGCUGUAACUCGCCCUCUUGAAUCUGGAUUCCGUAGUAAUCGCGGGUCAACUUCCCGCGGUGAAUUGCCCCUGCUCCU
rnacentral:rRNA from 1 species